rnacentral:rRNA from 1 species
GAUGAACGCUGGCGGCGUGCCUAAUACAUGCAAGUCGAACGAGGUGCUUUUUGUAGCAAUACGAGAAGUAUCCUAGUGGCGAACGGGUGAGUAACGCGUUGGUGACCUGCCCCAAAGUGUGGGAUAACAGUUCGAAAGAACUGCUAAUACCGCAUGUGAUCAUCGGAUUUAGAAACUGAUGAUUAAAGCAGUAAUGCGCUUUGGGAGGGACCUGCGUCCCAUCAGCUAGUUGGUGAGGUAACGGCUCACCAAGGCGACGACGGGUAGGGGACCUGAGAGGGUGGCCCCCCACAAUGGAACUGAAACACGGUCCAUACACCUACGGGUGGCAGCAGUAGGGAAUAUUGCUCAAUGGGCGAAAGCCUGAAGCAGCAACGCCGCGUGUGCGAUGAAGGCCUUCGAGUCGUAAAGCACUUUUCUGGGAGAUGAGAAAGGACAGUAUCUCAGGAAUAAGUCUCGGCUAACUACGUGCCAGCAGCCGCCGUAAGAC